AAAUCAUGAUGUGGGCAAUUCCUUAAUAAGCUCUUGUAUCUUUCCCAUGCCUCAUAUAGUGACUCUAUAACUUGUUGUUCAAAGUUUGCUAUGGCAUUUUUCAACUU